rnacentral:rRNA from 1 species
CGCAGCAGGCGCGAAAACUUUACAAUGCGGAAACCGUGAUAAGGGAACACCGAGUGCCAGCAUCAUAUGCUGGCUGUCCAGAUGUGUAAACUACAUCUGUUAGCAAGGGCCGGGCAAGACCGGUGCCAGCCGCCGCGGUAACACCGGCGGCCCGAGUGGUGACCGUUAUUAUUGGGUCUAAAGGGUCCGUAGCCGGUUUGGUCAGUCCUCCGGGAAAUCUGAUAGCUUAACUGUUAGGCUUUCGGGGGAUACUGCCAGGCUUGGAACCGGGAGAGGUAAGAGGUACUACAGGGGUAGGAGUGAAAUCUUGUAAUCCCUGUGAGACCACCUGUGGCGAAGGCGUCUUACCAGAACGGGUUCGACGGUGAGGGACGAAAGCUGGGGGCACGAACCGGAUUAGAUACCCGGGUAGUCCCAGCCGUAAACUAUGCUCGCUAGGUGUCAGGCAUGGCGCGACCGUGUCUGGUGCCGCAGGGAAGCCGUGAAGCGAGCCACCUGGGAAGUACGGCCGCAAGGCUGAAACUUAAAGGAAUUGGCGGGGGAGCACAACAACGGGUGGAGCCUGCGGUUUAAUUGGACUCAACGCCGGACAACUCACCGGGAACG